CAGGAAAAACACCUCCGCUGUUGGGCCAAGGUCCAGCCACGGGAGUAAAGGUCCACCGGCCCACUCAGCCUUGUCAUUCUCUUCUACUUCUCGCAGAACAACACCUCCGCCGCCGCUCCUCACCUCGCCGGCGUACCCUCCGCAGCCACCUCGUCUCCCCCCAACUCCGAUACUUCAUCUGCCCCUGUUCCUCCACCACUCGCCUCACCCGCAUCAGGUCGACCGGCACCGCCCAAGACUCGCUGAUGGGAGACGCGGCGCUGCCCAGGAGCCAUGGCAUUGCGCCCGGCCUGUUCGCUGGUGCUGCGCGCGGCGCUGCCGAACUCGCCUGGCCGAUCGAGGCGAUUCGGUCCGUCUGUCCUUCACGCCGGCGAGGGGUACGCGCGGUGCCGGCCACGAGGACGCACCGGGCGGCUGUGAUGUGACCCAUGGAGGUCCUUCCUCCAUGGCAGCUGUGAGGAUGGAGUUUUCCUGAGGCCUCGCUGCCAACAGAGUUUCUACUACUGCAGCAUACUCGGCCAUGGAGAACGGUGUUCUCAUGUAGAUGCCGUUGCAGUUGACGGCCAGCACAGUAUUACUCUGAACCUGACCAGAUCUGCUAUGGAUGCACUACUAGGUUCAUUCAGAUAAGUGAGCUAGAUGCGCAGGCUAGUUGGCGACUCUGGUUUCUCAUUAUCAUCAUCCGGUGCACAACGACCCCGAUGGGCACCUCUGGUCCUCGCCGUCGCUAGGAACGUCAUGCUGAUAGCGGCCGCCUCCCCCGCUUGAUACUCCCAAAAUGCAUGCGCCGGGGCUAGCUCUAGGCCGGCUAAGGUGUGGAAUGUGAUGGAGGCGUGCGGGAUGCAUGAUGACGAGUGGGAGCUGUCUGCCAAGGUUGAAGCAAGACACGUGGUGGUUUUCGACUGCACCAAGUGGUGGUGUGGUUCCAGAACGUGCUCAAGGAGCCGCUCGCCGGCGACACCGCUACGCAGGUGCUCAUGGAUCAGAUGUGUACAAUAGCAGCUACAACAUCAACAAGAAUGAACACAAGCUGUGCAGAAGCCUUUGUGUAUAAUGCAUUGUAUCAGUUACUCUGGAGAACUAGCACAGGGUAAAAAGUCACGAGGUGUUACUGAAGAAAUUAUUUUUUUAGUAAUCUCCGAUUUAUCGUUUGUAUUGUUAUUUCACUUGUGUUUCCUCCUGCAACUAGGACUAGCGUCAUGGCUAAGAAAUUUAGUUCAGUUUUCAAGCAUGGACAACUUCCACAUUCUGUACCUUCUGAUGCUUUUGGUCUUGUAUAGUUUUUCGAGCAAUAUAAGGGAAGAAAACAGAGAGGCGGGCGGCUGGAGCUCGUCUUUCUUCAUUUCAACCUCCGGUCAUCGGAACGAAGAGCUUCACCUCGUACUGGUCCUCGCCAUCUCUCUGUGCAACCAUGACCCUGGUUGCGAUUGCCUCUCUGUGGUGGCUUCAGGUCAUCAUCGCUCAUUGCUCUAGGUAUGCACUCCACUGAAGGAACUUAUGCAGGCGAGCCUGAUGUUGGAGUGAUAGACUUAUGUGCAUAUUUGCAUAUAGCUAGAACAUAUCCGCAAGAGUUCACCCCGAAGGGCAUCGUUGAGUCGGCUGUCUGUUGGAGGAUCAGCUUUGCUGCUUGAGGACCUCUGCGUUUCAUUUCGUUGAUAAGAUAGAAGUUUUUGUUACAUGCCUACUAGCAGGAGCGGGAUACAAGAUACAAGCUAACUAAUGCACAUCCCAGGUCGUCGGCAGCACAAGCCCAAGGCCAGCUUUGGCCUAGAGAGCUGCUUCCUCCUUGAUGCUUGCAAGCAGGCCAGCGGUCGAAGGUUGUUCGCCUUCAAACACACAACUGUUCAUGUGUUUCUGCACCAUCCAUUGGAGUUAUAGGGUUGCAGUAGCCAGCCCCUUGCACAUGGUUUUAGGUGUGUUCUGACGCGCCUAGAACAACCAUUCGACGACGAAUGCCUCCUGUGCUGGUGGGGCGCAUGUCAUCCGGAGCCAAGACAAUAUUUAAUAUUUCCUACCAGAUUACAUUGGUGAAAGGGCAGGACGGAGUCUGCUGCCGCAUCUUUCUAGGCAUGGAGCUGAGGCGCAAUCUCACUGACGGAGCGUUCGCCGAUCCAGUGGUCGUCCCAAAACAACGCGGUUUGGACAUUACCCACUGUCAUCAAAGUGGAAGCGAUGAAGAGGGCAUGUUCCUCUACCGAGAAUUGGAGUUCAAGGAUGCUCCAGGCUCGGUCGGUUCAUGUCGCUGCGGCUGUACAAGAGCCAAUGAAGGCGGAGGGCAGGGCCGGCCUCUCUCUUCCUAAGGCCGCUCUGCCUGUCUUAAUCUAGGUUUCUCUGCCAUAUGGAGGUAAUUGGCGAGUCGAGCCUUCUUAGGCCAGUGGUAGCUGUACGUGAUAUCGGAGCUGUCAGCUCCCGUGGCGCUCGCAUAGGUAAAGUGGAGGCGGCCUUUAUGUAGUGGCAGUGGAGAAGCAGAGGUGGCCACGAGGGAGCCUUGGCCGCGGGAAAGUAUAAAGCUUGUUUUGGACCUGGGAAUGGAUAGUGCUUCUCUGAUCUGAUCUGGGCAGGCUGCCUGUGUUAAGUAGCUCCUAUAUAUGUUGUCAUAAUCUUGCUUGGGCCAGUUUGGUUUCCGUGGCUGCUAGCAAGUUCGUAUCAUUACAAUGUAACUUUCUCAGUUUUGCUCUGAUCUAAUAAUGUGCACUCUUUUUUUCUAA